rnacentral:lncRNA from 1 species
CGUAGUGUAACAUAUACUUGCUUUUUUUCUUCUGCUUUUAUACUUGGAUGGAGAGUUUUCACAAUGGCGAUCAUACCAGAUAAUUUUGUAUUGAAUAUGAAUAUACUUAAUUUUAACAACUAAAUAAAAAAAGGUUUGUACUUACAUUGGGGUAGACAUCACAGCUUUUCUUUUCUCUUUCUUUUCUUUUGUUGGGGUGUUGUUAGCUGAGCGUUGCCACUUUUUCUCCUUUCCUUUUUUUGGAAUACAACAUCUUUAUAUCAUCUUCGGGUAAUGUUAGUGCGUCCUCUCUAGUUCCAAUACGUAUAUCUGAUCCAAAAUUGUACUGGAUAUUGCCUUCUGAAUCUUUCAUUAAGCAUCCUGAUCCGAUAAAAUCAGGCAAAGCCGCAUCAUGCUUCCAUGCUGACAGUAAAUACUGUAUUUAGCAAUUGAUUAAUUUAAUAAAUUGAAGAAGUGCAUUUGUU